rnacentral:rRNA from 1 species
UGAGCCUUCGGGGUGGAGCUCGUGGAACGAGCGGCGGACGGGUGAGUAACACGUGGGCAACCUACCUGUGAGACGGGGAUAACUCCGGGAAACCGGGGCUAAUACCGGAUAACGCAUCGAACCGCAUGGUUCGAUGAUCAAAGAUGGCUUCUCGCUAUCACUCACAGAUGGGCCCGCGGCGCAUUAGUUAGUUGGUGAGGUAAAGGCUCACCAAGGCGACGAUGCGUAGCCGACCUGAGAGGGUGAUCGGCCACACUGGGACUGAGACACGGCCCAGACUCCUACGGGAGGCAGCAGUAGGGAAUCAUCCGCAAUGGACGCAAGUCUGACGGUGCAACGCCGCGUGAGCGAUGAAGGUCUUCGGAUCGUAAAGCUCUGUUGUGAGGGAAGAACAAGUGCCGUUCGAAUAGGGCGGCACCUUGACGGUACCUCACCAGAAAGCCCCGGCUAACUACGUGCCAGCAGCCGCGGUAAUACGUAGGGGGCAAGCGUUGUCCGGAAUUAUUGGGCGUAAAGCGCGCGCAGGCGGUUCCUUAAGUCUGAUGUGAAAGGCCACAGCUCAACUGUGGAGGGCCAUUGGAAACUGGGGAACUUGAGGACAGAAGAGGAGAGCGGAAUUCCACGUGUAGCGGUGAAAUGCGUAGAUAUGUGGAGGAACACCAGUGGCGAAGGCGGCUCUCUGGUCUGUAACUGACGCUGAGGCGCGAAAGCAUGGGUAGCGAACAGGAUUAGAUACCCUGGUAGUCCAUGCCGUAAACGUUGAGUGCUAGGUGUUAGGGGGUCCAACCCUUAGUGCUGCAGUUAACGCAAUAAGCACUCCGCCUGGGGAGUACGGCCGCAAGGCUGAAACUCAAAGGAAAUUGACGGGGGGCCUGCACAAGCGGUGGANGCAUGUGGUUUUAAUUCGACGCAACGCGAANAAACCUUACCAGGUCUUGGACAUCUUCNGNANAGCCCCAANANAUUGGGGUNUUUCCCUUUCGGGGAACCGAANUGAACANGGNGGGUGCAUGGNUUGUCNNUCAGCCUCGUGUUCGNGANAUGUUUGGGUUUAANUCCCCGNUAACGNNGGCNAACCCC